CGAGUGCCCCAAGCGUUAUCCGGAAUUAUUGGGCGUAAAGGGUGUGUAGGUGGUUUGGUUAGUCUCCUGUCAAAUUCUUCGGCUCAACCGGGGUCCUGCAGGGGAAACGGCCAGACUUGAGGAUGUUAGGGGUCGAGGGAACUCAUGGAGUAGGGGUGAAAUCCGUUGAUAUCAUGGGGAACACCAAAAGCGAAGGCACUCGACUAGGGCAUUCCUGACACUGAAACACGAAAGCGUGGGUAGCGAACGGGAUUAGAUACCCCGGUAGUCCACGCCCUAAACGAUCUUCACUGGCUUUCGAGGGAAUCGGCCCCCUCGGAGGCGAAGCUAACGCGUUAAGUGAAGCGCCUGGGUAGUACGGCCGCAAGGCUA
rnacentral:rRNA from 1 species